GAUGAACGCUAGCUACAGGCUUAACACAUGCAAGUCGAGGGGUAACGAGAGGAAAGCUUGCUUUCCUUGUCGACGACCGGCGCACGGGUGAGUAACGCGUAUCCAACCUGCCCACAACUAAGGAAUAACCUUGCGAAAGUAAGACUAAUACCUUAUAAUUUCCUCAGAUGUCAUCUGACGAGGAAUAAAGAUUUAUCGGUUGUGGAUGGGGAUGCGUCUGAUUAGCUUGUUGGCGGGGUAACGGCCCACCAAGGCAACGAUCAGUAGGGGUUGGUAGAGGAAGGUCCCCCACAUUGAGACUGAGACACGGUCCAAACUCCUACGGGAGGCAGCAGUGAGGAAUAUUGGUCAAUGGGCGAAAGCCUGAACCAGCCAAGUAGCGUGCAGUAUGACGGCCCUAUGGGUUGUAAACUGCUUUUAUACAGGAAUAAAGUUAGCCACGUGUGGUUAUUUGUAGGUACUGUAUGAAUAAGGACCGGCUAAUUCCGUGCCAGCCGCCGCCGUAA
rnacentral:rRNA from 1 species